rnacentral:rRNA from 1 species
GCCCGCUCAGAAACUCAAAGGAAUUGACGGGGCCCGGCACAAGCGGAGGAGCAUGUGGUUUAAUUUCGAUGAUACGCGAGGAACCUUACCUGGGCUCGAACGUAAGAUGACUGUAGGUGAAAGCUUACAUCUCUUCGGAGCAUUUUACGAGGUGCUGCAUGGUUGUCGUCAGCUCGUGCCGUGAGGUGUCGGGUUAAGUCCCAUAACGAGCGCAACCCCUACCUUUAGUUGCCAUCAGGUUAAGCUGGGGACUCUAAAGGAACUGCCUACGCAAGUAGUGAGGAAGGCGGGGAUGACGUCAAAUCAGCACGGCCCUUACGUCCAGGGCUACACACGUGCUACAAUGGCCGAUACAGAGGGCAGCUACCUGGUGACAGGAUGCAAAUCUCCAAAGUCGGUCUCAGUUCGGAUCGGAGUCUGCAACCCGACUCCGUGAAGUUGGAUUCGCUAGUAAUCGCGCAUCAGCCAUGGCGCGGUGAAUACGUUCCCGGGCCUU